UUGAAUGAAGGUUGGUUGUAGCUGGCCCCUAGGGCAUGUGCACACCCACCAUCCUCAUCUCAUCCACCUGUGCACCCUUUGUAGACCGGUCUAGGUCUAUGUUUUUCAUAUACCCAAAUUACAGAAUGUGUUUAUAUUUUAUUAUA
rnacentral:misc_RNA from 1 species